GGUGUGGCGCAGUUGGUUAGCGCGCCAGAUUGUGGCUCUGGAGGUCGUGGGUUCGAAUCCCACCAUC
rnacentral:tRNA from 1 species